CACGCUGUCGGUUCGCCGCCCGUCGGUGUUAACUGGCAUGUCCUGUGGAACGUCCUGCCGGUGGCGGUCCGGGCUCUCGGCUUGCGUAAAGGCUCGCGCCCGAAGCAGGUCGAACAGUUCCGGCCGCCGGUCCAAUCCCGCCACGGUGCUCUUUACCGAGUGUCGAGGUGGGCCGGCACGUUUACUUUGAACAAAUUAGAGUGCUUAAAGCAGGCUGGUGUCCGCCUGAAUACUGUGUGCAUGGAAUAAUGGAAUAGGACCUCGGUUCUAUUUUGUUGGUUUUCGGAACCCGAGGUAAUGAUUAAUAGGGACAGGCGGGGGCAUUCGUAUUGCGACGUUAGAGGUGAAAUUCUUGGAUCGUCGCAAGACGAACCUAAGCGAAAGCAUUUGCCAAGUAUGUUCUCGUUAAUCAAGAACGAAAGUUAGAGGUUCGAAGGCGAUCAGAUACCGCCCUAGUUCUAACCAUAAACGAUGCCAGCCAGCGAUCCGCCGAAGUUCCUCCGAUGACUCGGCGGGCAGCUUCCGGGAAACCAAAGCUUUUGGGUUCCGGGGGAAGUAUGGUUGCAAAGCUGAAACUUAAAGGAAUUGACGGAAGGGCACCACCAGGAGUGGAGCCUGCGGCUUAAUUUGACUCAACACGGGAAACCUCACCAGGCCCGGACACCGGAAGGAUUGACAGAUUGAGAGCUCUUUCUUGAUUCGGUGGGUGGUGGUGCAUGGCCGUUCUUAGUUGGUGGAGCGAUUUGUCUGGUUAAUUCCGAUAACGAACGAGACUCUAGCCUGCUAACUAGGCGAUUUCCGGUACCCACAAUAGUGUUACCGGCGAUUCAAUUUCUUCUUAGAGGGACAGGCGGCUCCUAGCCGCACGAGACUGAGCAAUAACAGGUCUGUGAUGCCCUUAGAUGUCCUGGGCCGCACGCGCGCUACACUGAAGGAAUCAGCGUGUCAUCCCUGGCCGACAGGCCCGGGUAACCCGUUGAACCUCCUUCGUGCUAGGGAUUGGGGCUUGCAAUUGUUCCCCAUGAACGAGGAAUUCCCAGUAAGCGCGAGUCAUAAGCUCGCGUUGAUUACGUCCCUGCCCUUUGUACACACCGCCCGUCGCUACUACCGAUUGAAUGAUUUAGUGAGGUCUUCGGACUGGUGCGCGGCGAUCGGUUCCACCGGCCGCCGAUGUUGCCGGAAAGAUGACCAAACUUGAUCAUUUAGAGGAAGUAAAAGU
rnacentral:rRNA from 1 species